rnacentral:tRNA from 1 species
CGGGGAGUAGCUCAAUUGGUAGAGCACCCGUCUCAUACGCGGGAGUGCGCAGGUUCGAGCCCUGCCUCCCCUACCA